CCCUUAGAUGUCCUGGGCUGCACGCGCGCUACACUGAUGUGUCCAGUAAGCACCUAACCUCUUCCGAAAGGAACGGGUAACCUUUGCAAAGCACAUCGUGAUGGGGAUAGAUUAUUGCAAUUAUUAGUCUUGAACGAGGAAUUCCUAGUAAGCACAAGUCAUCAGCUUGUGUUGAUUACGUCCCUGCCCUUUGUACACACCGCCCGACGCUCCUACCGAUUGAAUGUUCCGGUGAGCUCUUCGGACUGCGCGGUCUGCAGUUUCUGCGUUCCGUGCGGAAAGUUGCGCAAACCUUAACAUUUAGAGGAAGGAGAAGUCGUAACA
rnacentral:rRNA from 1 species